rnacentral:rRNA from 1 species
GAUGAACGCUAGCUACAGGCUUAACACAUGCAAGUCGAGGGGAAACGAUGAGAGAGCUUGCUCUCUUAGGCGUCGACCGGCGCACGGGUGAGUAACGCGUAUCCAACCUACCCAUUACAGGGGGAUAACCUUGCGAAAGUAAGACUAAUACCCCAUGGCAUUUUAUGGUGGCAUCAUUAUAGGAUUAAAGAUUUAUUGGUAAUGGAUGGGGAUGCGUCUGAUUAGCUUGUUGGCGGGGUAACGGCCCACCAAGGCAACGAUCAGUAGUGGUUCUGAGAGGAAGGUCCCCCACAUUGGAACUGAGACACAGUCCAAACUCCUACGGGAGGCAGCAGUGAGGAAUAUUGGUCAAUGGGCGAGAGCUUGAACCAGCCAAGUAGCGUGCAGGAGGACGGCCCUAUGGGUUGUAAACUGCUUUUAUAGGAGAAUAGAGUGAGCUACGUGUAGUUUAUUGCAUGUACCCUAUGAAUAAGGACCGGCUAAUUCCGUG